GUGGAACUUGGGAUUCGAACGGCAGGCGGGAAGUGCUCUAGCAGGGGAGUCUGACCUUGUGAGGGAAUACCUGUGUCCCCCCUUUUUUCCCCUUUUUACCCAAUAAAACCCUGCCUUACUCACCCUUUAAAUCAUCUGCGAGCCUGAAUUUUCAUGGCCGUGGGACGGACAAGAACUUUAUCUUCAGCUGAACUAAGAAAAAGUCCUGCAACAUUUUUGGCGCGCAAUGUGGGGGCACCAGAAGCGGGCACCGUUGAGCUGUUGCAACUGUUCUGCUGGAGCCUUAUGUAUGUGGUUGAAACCACCUGUACUACUGGAAUGAAAGCACCUUUACAGAAGAGGCAAUGCAAGUUGUAUUCAUCACAUGUGUAGAAUGAAUUAAGAUUUAUGCCAGUUGCAAAGAAGAAUAUUGGCUCACUAUUUUUCCUCUGGGCAUCAGCAUAUGAUCCCCUGUUGAAGACAGACAAGUACAUCUUUCUGGUGGCUCCUAGACCUGGCAUUGGGAACAGAAGAUUAUCAGUAUGAUCCGUACGCUUAAGGAAAGAUCUCAUAUUAUUGAAAUGAAUAUUUUAUUUGAUAAAUUGAACUACAGAAUAAAGUACUUUUAACAAACCA
ensembl:lncRNA MIR924HG MIR924 host gene